GACGAACGCUGGCGGCGUGCUUAACACAUGCAAGUCGAACGGAAAGGCCCCUUUGGUGGUACUCGAGUGGCGAACGGGUGAGUAACACGUGAGUAACCUGCCCUUGACUUCGGGAUAACUUCAGGAAACUGGGGCUAAUACCGGAUAGGAAUCCUUGCUGCAUGGUGGGGGUUGGAAAGCUUCGGCGGUUUUGGAUGGACUCGCGGCUUAUCAGCUUGUUGGUGGGGUAGUGGCUUACCAAGGCUUUGACGUGUAGCCGGCCUGAGGGGGCGACCGGCCACAUUGGGACUGAGAGACGGCCCAGACUCCUACGGGAGGCAGCAGUGGGGAAUAUUGCACAAGAGGCGGAAGCCUGAUGCAGCAACGCCGCGUGCGGGAUGACGGCCUUCGGGUUGUAAACCGCUUUCAGCAGGGGCGAAGCUUGUGGUGACGGUACCUGCAGAAGAAGCACCGGCUAACUACGUG
rnacentral:rRNA from 1 species